GGGCCCGUAGCUCAGCCUGGACAGAGCGUCUGCCUCCUAAGUAGAAGGUCCCGCGUUCGAAUCGCGGCGGGCCCG
rnacentral:tRNA from 1 species